UAGCUGUAGAAGCAAUGAUCGACUUUGC
rnacentral:piRNA from 1 species